GCGAGUGAAAGGUAGCAAAAAUCCUUUUGCUUACCUCAGCGAUUUGGGGACGCCACGAAAGAGAACUAUCAACAAUGACACCUAGAUCUCUAACGACGUUGGAAUAGCCUAAAAUGGUGUCUUGUGUGUCUUUUUAUCUACAGAUGCGUGCACAAACUGUCAAGAAGUGAGGGUGAGCAAUUAGAAAAAAGUGUGUUAGAUUAGGUUGCAGUAAAGAUAGAUUAGAGCUGGAGAUUAUGUUUCUUAGCACGCGAGUCAUCCUUAGCCAAGCAGGUAUUAAAAUCACCCAUGAUGAUGGUUUGAUCGACAGUAUGAAUAUACGUUUCUAGAAGG
rnacentral:misc_RNA from 1 species